rnacentral:lncRNA from 1 species
GAGAAGUGUGGGGAGGGAAUUACAUCUCACCUUCUGUCUAAAGAUCAAGACAUACCCAUCUCACUCAGUCAUCUCCAGUGGCAUGUUGAAGAAGUCAACUAUCUGUUCUCACUCUGCAAAUGUAGACAAAGAUGUGUCCUGCCCUGAAGAUCUGGUGGGCUAAUUCAUAGCUCCAACAUGAAUGGUACAUAUGUUCAAGAUAAAAUUGUCAAGCUUGAUGUUGUGAGUCAUCUCAACCAACGCCUACAAGUGGAUUCUGGCUGCCAGAGGAAUUACUUCGCACUGUGACAAAG